rnacentral:tRNA from 1 species
UAGCCUAGAGGUAAGGCUUUGGAUCGCCAAUCCGGAGACGACGGGUUCGAUUCCCGU